AGCGAACGCUGGCGGCAUGCUUGACACAUGCAAGUCGCACGGAUCUUUCGGGAUCAGUGGCGGACGGGUGAGUAACGCGUAGGGAUCUAUCCAUGGGUGGGGGACAACUCCGGGAAACUGGAGCUAAUACCGCAUGAUACCUGAGGGUCAAAGGCGCAAGUCGCCUGUGGAGGAACCUGCGUUCGAUUAGCUAGUUGGUGGGGUAAAGGCCUACCAAGGCGAUGAUCGAUAGCUGGUUUGAGAGGAUGAUCAGCCACACUGGGACUGAGACACGGCCCAGACUCCUACGGGAGGCAGCAGUGGGGAAUAUUGGACAAUGGGCGAAAGCCUGAUCCAGCAAUGCCGCGUGUGUGAAGAAGGUCUUCGGAUUGUAAAGCACUUUCGACGGGGACGAUGAUGACGGUACCCGUAGAAGAAGCCCCGGCUAACUUCGUG
rnacentral:rRNA from 1 species